GAUGGACGCUGGCGGCGUGCCUAAUACAUGCAAGUCGAGCGAACGGACGAGAAGCUUGCUUCUCUGAUGUUAGCGGCGGACGGGUGAGUAACACGUGGAUAACCUACCUAUAAGACUGGGAUAACUUCGGAAAACCGGAGCUAAUACCGGAUAAUAUUUUGAACCGCAUGGUUCAAAAGUGAAAGACGGUCUUGCUGUCACUUAUAGAUGGAUCCGCGCUGCAUUAGCUAGUUGGUAAGGUAACGGCUUACCAAGGCAACGAUGCAUAGCCGACCUGAGAGGGUGAUCGGCCACACUGGAACUGAGACACGGUCCAGACUCCUACGGGAGGCAGCAGUAGGGAAUCUUCCGCAAUGGGCGAAAGCCUGACGGAGCAACGCCGCGUGAGUGAUGAAGGUCUUCGGAUCGUAAAACUCUGUUAUUAGGGAAGAACAUAUGUGUAAGUAACUGUGCACAUCUUGACGGUACCUAAUCAGAAAGCCACGGCUAACUACGUG
rnacentral:rRNA from 1 species